rnacentral:rRNA from 1 species
CUACGGGUCGCACCAGUCGAGAAUCUUCCGCAAUGGACGAAAGUCUGACGGCGCGACGCCGCGUGCGGGAUGAAGGCCUUCGGGUUGUAAACCGCUGUCAGUGGGGAGGAAAUGCAUCAGGGUUCUCCCUGGUGUUUGACCGAUCCGCAGAGGAAGCGCAGGCUAAGUUCGUGCCAGCAGCCGCGGUAACACGAACUGCGCGAACGUUAUUCGGAAUCACUGGGCUUAAAGAGUUCGUAGGCGGCCUUUCAAGUCGGGUGUGAAAUCCCUCGGCUCAACCGAGGAAUUGCGCCUGAUACUGUUGGGCUUGAGGGGGAUAGGGGUGAGCGGAACUGAUGGUGGAGCGGUGAAAUGCGUUGAUAUCAUCAGGAACACCGGUGGCGAAGGCGGCUCACUGGAUCUCUUCUGACGCUGAGGAACGAAAGCUAGGGGAGCGAACGGGAUUAGAUACCCCAGUAGUC